rnacentral:rRNA from 1 species
AGCGGCGGAUGGGUGAGUAACACGUGGGGAACCUGCCCCUAAGUCUGGGAUACCAUUUGGAAACAGGUGCUAAUACCGGAUAAUAAAGCAGAUCGCAUGAUCAGCUUUUGAAAGGCGGCGUAAGCUGUCGCUAAGGGAUGGCCCCGCGGUGCAUUAGCUAGUUGGUAAGGUAACGGCUUACCAAGGUGACGAUGCAUAGCCGAGUUGAGAGACUGAUCGGCCACAUUGGGACUGAGACACGGCCCAAACUCCUACGGGAGGCAGCAGUAGGGAAUCCUCCACAAUGGACGCAAGUCUGAUGGAGCAACGCCGCGUGAGUGAAGAAGGUUUUCGGAUCGUAAAGCUCUGUUGUUGGUGAAGAAGGAUAGAGGUAGUAACUGGCCUUUAUUUGACGGUAAUCAACCAGAAAGUCACGGCUAACUACGUGCCAGCAGCCGCGGUAAUACGUAGGUGGCAAGCGUUGUCCGGAUUUAUUGGGCGUAAAGCGAGCGCAGGCGGAAAAUAAGUCUAAUGUGAAAGCCCUCGGCUUAACCGAGGAACUGCAUCGGAAACUGUUUUCCUUGAGUGCAGAAGAGGAGAGUGGAACUCCAUGUGUAGCGGUGGAAUGCGUAGAUAUAUGGAAGAACACCAGUGGCGAAGGCGGCUCUCUGGUCUGCAACUGACGCUGAGGCUCGAAAGCAUGGGUAGCGAGCAGGAUUAGAUACCCUGGUAGUCCAUGCCGUAAACGAUGAGUGCUAAGUGU